CCUACGUGUGGCAGCAGUGAGGAAUAUUGGUCAAUGGACGAGAGUCUGAACCAGCCAAGUAGCGUGAAGGAUGACUGCCCUAUGGGUUGUAAACUUCUUUUAUAUGGGAAUAAAACAGGGUAUGCAUACCCUCUUGUAUGUACCAUAUGAAUAAGGAUCGGCUAACUCCGUGCCAGCAGCCGCGGUAAUACGGAGGAUCCGAGCGUUAUCCGGAUUUAUUGGGUUUAAAGGGAGCGUAGGUGGAUUGUUAAGUCAGUUGUGAAAGUUUGCGGCUCAACCGUAAAAUUGCAGUUGAAACUGGCAGUCUUGAGUACAGUAGAGGUGGGCGGAAUUCGUGGUGUAGCGGUGAAAUGCUUAGAUAUCACGCAGAACCCCGAUUGCGAAGGCAGCAUGCCGGCUUCCGACUGACGCUGAAGCACGAAAGCGUGGGGAUCGAACAGGAUUAGAUACCCCAGUAGUC
rnacentral:rRNA from 1 species